ensembl:lncRNA
CCUGUAAAUAAACAAAAAAAAAAAAAAUAGGGGAUUGUUGUAUAAGGCUGCUGUAAAAGGAUUGAAAUCUGACAGCAGACAUUGCCUCUCCUCCACACGCACACCCUUAACCAUGCUUAAUGUUAUUUCAAGGGAAGGGAGAAAAAUGUGCACCACCCUGAGAGUGAAUACAUGAUGGGCAACAUUGAAGUAUGCUCACUAAAACCACAAACCUUUCAGCUGCUGGCAGUAGUUCACUCCUGAUAAAUACAAGAUGACUCCAUUGCACCGUAAGUGCAAUCAUGCUGUGAGACUGCAGAACCAGCUUUGAAUUGCAGAACACUUGAAUGUAAGUG